GGAAAACACCGUGCUAUGAAAAUGUGUGAUCAUAUGUAGUUCUGCACGUUGAUAAACCGGAAGUGAUAUUGUAACAUCAUUUUUCCGGUUAAUAUAGAAUAAAGCCUGGAGCUGGCAUAAGGAAAAAUCAUCCUGUAUGUAAAUAUUAUCAGUCAGAAGAUGAAGAAGAAAAAGUUCUAAACCACAGAUCGCCCAACACGAUAUAAAUAAAAAUGUUGCAGACUCGGUUUGAUUGAACCUGUUCAUGGACGGUAAUGGAAAUACAAGCUUCAGUCCACGCCCCCUAGCCCCCUACCCUGGGGUUGAGCAGAACUCAACAUUUACAAAUGUAACAAGUUCCAGAAAAAACAAUAUAGCGACAUCCCCAAAUGUGUUCAUACGGCAGUGCACAUGGAACUUUCAAUGAUACACAGAGUGCAGUUCCAUGAAGAGCGGCGCUAUGGGUUUGCCCUAAACGAGAAACUUUUGGCGGAACUAAACAAAAUGAAUUUUAGACAGGGGAUCUGAGAUUAUGGAGCCUGCAUAUCAGAGAAACUGCCAAAAGACGAAAUAAAAAAGCAGGCACCAUAUCCAAGGGGUGAUUAAACUAUACCCAAAGCUAUUAAAGCGGCAGGACUGGAACCGGUCAAACCGAAAUGUUCGAGAUGAAAAGAUAAACAGUACCCUAACACAACAUUAAUAUCGUGCUGAAAUUCUUUUUUUUUUCUACAUAAAAUUUAAUGAGAUCUGUAGAGUGAGAUAAGAUCACAUGAUUUUUUGUUACAGUUUCUGCAACUGGAGUCUUGCAAGGUAAAUGGAAUUCCGAAUGCCUCAGUCGAUAUACAUGUUGAUAACUUUUACAAACACAAGGCGCCUGCCAAAAAAAAAAAACAAAAAAAACAAUGAAAUAAAUUAUUAGUUGUUUUCGUAUGAUCAUCGGACUGAACAUACAUUUUCAUAUCGCUGUGAUAUUUCGAGCCAUUGGUUAUUCUUGGAAAACGGUCUUCAAGAAAUGAUGACGUAAAAUUCGUAUAGACUGUAUCCGUGACCAUACCAUACCUAUAAAUUAUCAUUAGUAUUAAAUAUUAUAUCUCUCUUUGAAUUGAUUUGAUUAAAAACUAAAUGUUUA